AUUGAGCGCUGGCGGCAUGCCUUACGCAUGCAAGUCGAACGGCAGCACGGGAGCAAUCCUGGUGGCUAGUGGCGAACGGGUGAGUAAUAUAUCGGAACGUGACCAGUCGUGGGGGAGAACGUAGCGAAAGCCACUCUAAUACCGCAUACGAUCUAUGGAUGAAAGCGGGGGAGCGCAAGACCUAGCGCGAUUGGAGCGGCCUAGAUAAGAUUAGGUAGUUGGUGAGGUAAAGGCUCACCAAUCCGACGAGCUGUAGCUGGUCUGAGAGGACGACCGGCCACACUGGGACUGAGACACGGCCCAGACUCCUACGGGAGGCAGCGGUGGGGAAUUUUGGACAAUGGGCGAAAGCCUGAUCCAGCAAUGCCGCGUGCAGGAUGAAGGCCUUCGGGUUGUAAACUGCUUUUGUACGGAGCGAAAAGGCUUCCACUAAUACUGGGGGCUCAUGACGGUACCGUAAGAAUAAGCACCGGCUAACUCUGUGCCAGCCGCCGCGGUAAUAC
rnacentral:rRNA from 1 species